GGGGGAGCUCAGUGGGGGAUGUGCGUCCUCAAGGCCGAGAACUGUGGGGAUGUGUAAACCUGCGAACCACAUUUAUACAGGACCCUGUGGCCGGGGAGACGGGCAAUCUUUUAGCCGUAGCUCGAGCCGCAUUAAACGCUGGAGAAUUCACACUGGAUGAGGGCCUUGUGGCUACUGGAAUGUAGGAAAUAAUUUACCUUCAACCCCGGGCCCCAGAAACACCUGUGACAUUGCACGAAGGCCUCAUGUGCGAGGCGAAUGUGGGGGAUCGUCUGCCAGGCUCCAGCGUCCUCACGUCGAGGAGUCACAUGAGAGAAAGGCCUUGCAAGGGCAGUGGACGAGGGCAGGCCUCCAGCCGCAGGGCUUACCGUGUCAGAGACCACAUGCUGCUUUUUUAAGGAUUUGGGGCCGUUUGUAUUUCCUUUGAGUUGUGAUAACUGCAGGGAGGAGUUCUCGGGAGAACUCACGGGAGCGCAGCCCAGAGGAUACCGUUAUAGGCGGGAGCUCGACACCAGGAAUCGACAAUCGCAGGCAGGCCGGUCCCUCCCUCCGGGUCUAGCACACGGACCCUACAAGCCGCCGAGGCACACGUACUUGACCUCCAGGUACUCGUCGAUGCCGUACUUGGAGCCCUCGCGCCCGAGGCCCGACUGCUUCACGCCGCCGAACGGGCACUCCACGGCCGAGAGCAGCCCUUCGUUGACGCCCACCAUGCCCACCUCCAGCCGCUCCGCCACCCGCCAGAUCUGGGCGGGGUCCUGCGAGUAGAAGUAGCCUGUGCAGGAGGAAGGACAAGGGGGUGCAGAACAUCACAGGGGCGUCCUGUCCAAGCUGAGGGGCACUGACUCAGCCUCCUCCCUCGGGCCUGGCAGCGCCCGGCUCCCAGCGAGACCCCAAGCCGGGCCUGUCCGAUUCGUCCUCUCAGACCCUGGACGUUCUUUCUAAAGGACCAAGGCCUGCCCGGCUGGCGUGGCUCAGCGGUUAAGCAUCGACCUAGGAACCAGGAGGUCACGGUUCGAUUCCCAUCGGGGCACAGGCCCGGGUUGUGGGCUCGAUCCCCAGUAGGGGGCGUGCAGGAGGCAGCCGAUCCAUGAUUCUCUCUCAUCAUUGAUGUUUCUUUCUCUCUCUCCCCAUCUCCUUUCCUCUCUGACACCAAUAAAAAUGUAUAUAUUUUUAAAAAGGACCGAGGCAGCCUCCCCUCGGCUCACUCUGUGACCCUCCUCAUGUAUCUGAAGCGCUUCUCCUGUCUCACUGUCCCGUCCUUCUGUCCUUAAUAAACGUCCUCUCGAGUCACUGGCCUUGGGUGUGAAACCGUCCCCCGCGAGUCAAGGACCCACACGUUCCGGGCCGAGCAAGGGCAGGCCCCUUGGUCCCGGUCCCUUCCUGGUGACAGUGUGGCCACUGUCCUUUUACUUGGAAAUGGUCAUGAGCCCUCUGCCCAGCCCGCACUUCCUCUCGUUCAGCCCAGGCCCAGCGGGGGGGAGCAGCACUUGGAUUUCCAGGCAGCCAGCCCCGGAGGACAGGGACUCAUGGUGUGUGAGUCCCCACCAGGAGCCACUCGUUCCGCCUCUCCCCUCCCUGCCCUCGCCCGGUCUCUCCCGCUCCCACCCGAGCUCGCGGCGAGGCAGAAGGACAGCACACACCCGCCCGCCCUCAGCGAGCACCAGACAAGUGUCCUCCGACCCAGCUGGCAAACGGGCAAACAUCAGCCUCCGCUGGAGACGCGCCCACGGCCCUGAGGCAGGACGGACACCCACCUGCUAACCCCACGUCGGCCGCGUUCGCGAUCGCCAGCGCCUCCUCCUCCGUGUGGAACCUGCCAGCCAGGCCUCCCGACCUGCCCGCGACCUUGGCGGGCGGGGGUCUUACUUGAUGACCGGGGCCAGGGGCCCGAAGGUCUCCUCCCGCGCGCAGAGCAUGUCCCGCGUGACGUUGCUGAGCAGCGUGGGCUCAAAGAAGUUG